rnacentral:tRNA from 1 species
AUUUAUAUAGUUUAAUAAAACAUUACAUUUUCAUUGUAAAGAUAAAAAAAUAUUUUUUAUAAAUA